UACGUAGGGUGCAAGCGUUGUCCGGAAUUACUGGGCGUAAAGCGUGCGCAGGCGGUUCGUUGUGUCGGCGGGGAAAGCCCCGGGCUUAACCUGGGAAUGGCCGUUGAAACUGGCGAACUGGAGUGUGGCAGAGGGGGGUGGAAUUCCGCGUGUAGCAGUGAAAUGCGUAGAGAUGCGGAGGAACACCGAUGGCGAAGGCAGCCCCCUGGGCUGACACUGACGCUCAGGCACGAAAGCGUGGGGAGCAAACAGG
rnacentral:rRNA from 1 species